rnacentral:rRNA from 1 species
UACGAAGGGGGCUAGCGUUGCUCGGAAUCACUGGGCGUAAAGCGCACGUAGGCGGACUCUUAAGUCGGUGGUGAAAUCCUGGAGCUCAACUCCAGAACUGCCUUCGAUACUGGGAGUCUCGAGUCCGGGAGAGGUGAGUGGAACUGCGAGUGUAGAGGUGAAAUUCGUAGAUAUUCGCAAGAACACCAGUGGCGAAGGCGGCUCACUGGCCCGGUACUGACGCUGAGGUGCGAAAGCGUGGGGAGCGAACAGG